rnacentral:rRNA from 1 species
GACGAACGCUGGCGGCGUGCUUAACACAUGCAAGUCGAACGGAAAGGCCCUGCUUUUGUGGGGUGCUCGAGUUGCGAACGGGUGAGUAACACGUGAGUAACCUGCCCUUGACUUUGGGAUAACUUCAGGAAACUGGGGCUAAUACCGGAUAGGAGCUCCUGCUGUAUGGUGGGGGUUGGAAAGUUUCGGCGGUUGGGGAUGGACUCGCGGCUUAUCAGCUUGUUGGUGGGGUAGUGGCUUACCAAGGCCUUGACGGGUAGCCGGCCUGAGAGGGUGACCGGCCACAGUGGGACUGAAAUGCGGCCCAGACUCCUACGGUAGGCAGCGGUGGGGAAUAUUGCACAAUGGGCGGAAGCCUGAUGCAGCAACGCCGCGUGCGGGAUGACGGCAUUCGGGUUGUAAUCCGCAUUCGCCUGUGACGAAGCGUGAGUGACGGUAAUGGGUAAAGAAGCACCGGCUAACUACGUG